UCUGUUUUAUAUUUACUACGUCAGGCAACAAAUGAAUCAUCUUUAUUACGGAGAAAUUUAAUUUGGAUGAACUUAACUGCUGCCGCCAAGAAACUGAUGUUGGAGUGUGACCUACAGCUGUAUCAGCAGAGUCAUUCUCAUUCUGACGAGGAGUAUCUCAGCCUGUUGAGACACAGACAGCAGCUGCAGAAGCGCUGUACCGAGCAGGUUGAGGGCCUUGCGGAGUGUGAAAAGGCUAUUCUUCAGAUGAAGUCAGAGCUGCAGAGACAAACCCAGGAAAAAGUGGGUCUGAAGCAAAGUCUUGUUGCGUCUCGCCGUACGCACAUCAGCAAUCGCAGCCAGCUGGAACAGGAAGUGCUAUGUUUGAAAAAGGAAGUUACACGUUUAGAGCUUGAGCUGUCAGACACCCAAAAGGUACAUGUGGCACUUCUGAGACAGUCAGAGGGGGAGCUGAAGGAGGCCAGACGAGAGGCGGCGAGAAGGAGCAACGAGGUGGGUGUGCAGAGAGGAGAGGUGCAAAGACUUCAGGAAGAGUUACAAAAGUGGGAGGAGGAGAUGAGGAGUGCCAUCAGAGAGAAACAGAGUCUCAGCAGUCACAUCAGGCGGUUGAACCAAGAGCUGGAGGAGCUACGCAGCAAGCACAAAGUGACAGUGGAGGAGUUGGCAGCCCGUGCAGAGGAGGCGAGGCGGAUGGAGGGGUGCCUGAAUGAGGGAAAGCUAGCAGAGGAGAAAAUAAGGUCAAUGGCUGUGAGGCUGGAGACGGAGGUGGCAGAGCUCAGGAGGAAUCUGCAGCAUGCUGUCGAUCACAAACUCAAGGCAGAGCGAGAGAAACAGGACGCACAGGACCAGGUGGAUACACUCCGGUCAGAGCUGGAGGGGACAUGGUCUGACAAUACAAACCUUCGCCAUGAGAGCCAGCUGGUCAUGACGAAUGUCAACAGUUGGAUUACUGAACAAAAGGCUUCCAAUGAGAGCAUCAUUGCCCAGAUGAAGGCCCAAAACAAGCUGCUGCUCAUCAUCACUGAAGAAAAAGAACAUCUUCAGGAGGCUAAUGACACAUUGAAGGCGGAGGUAAAGAGACUGAAAGAAGUGGCGGAUGAGAAGGAGAGAGACACGGAACGCUUCAAGGCCCAGAUUCGAGACCAGGGCACCCGGCAAGACGAGAGAACCAUGGAAACACAGGGUUGUGUGGCUCUAAACCUCAGCAAAAUCGAGGACAUGCAGACAAGACUGCGACACAACCUGGAGGCCAUCGGAAUGCUAAAUCAACAAUUAAACGCCCUCAGCAGGGAGAAUAAGCAGUUGCGUAGGCAGCUGGAGGAGGAGAGGUCCAUGCGACUGCUCCUUCCUCCUCCCACCUCCCAACAGCGCUCCUUCUCCCGCCCACCUCCUCCCUCCGCCUCCCUACCCUCAUCCCUCCGCCUCCCUCAUCCCCUGAACCUGGACACAGCAGCGGGAGACACUGACAGGACUGUAAACCAAACCAAGCUGAGCAGUACUAGGCUAGAGAGACCAGGUGAGUCCCAGGCUUUGGGUGAAGCGUUCUGGAUUAGGCCGCCUGGCUCUGCCUCCCUGGAAGAUGCUCUGUCUGGGAGGACAAGCAGGGAUCUGACCAAGUGAAGCCCCCUGAAGACUCUGACCUGUCAUGACUUUUUGACCUCCAGCUGCUCACCAGGGAGUGUACUCAGUAUGAGGUUAAUGUCCUGCAGGUCAAAGUCAAGUCCCUGAGUGCUUUUUGCCUGAGGGGGCCUCCAGAACCAGUGAAUGAUGGAAUUCCAUCAAAUCGAAAUCUCAAAAAUGUCUACUACAUCAUGAAGACAUUUACUCCAAGAUAUGAACAUAUUCACAUUUCUUACUUUUAAAAAAAUGAAUUGGUUGCAUCCUCAAAGUGUUGCAAUGCUCUGAGCAGUGUUGGUUUAUAACAUUUGCAAUUACUUCUUCUUUUGCAACAAAACUGUAGCACUAAGCACUAAAAUAUUGUUUGUGUCUGUACCUUUUUAAAAAUUCCAUCAGUUCUGAGAAACUAUAAUCAAUUUAAUUCCACUUAAAUGAACUAAACAGAACAAGUGACUAACUCCAAAUUCUUUAGUGUUGAUGAAUGUGUCUCACACUGGAGAUGGAAGCUGUGGAUAAAUGAGGGACGGCAGAUCAUCAGGAUCCACAGACAUACCUCAGAUGUUGAUGCGAAUGGCUAUAACACAGUCUCUGAUUAUGCUGCAGCUGUGCGCCAUGUGUCCUCCAUCUACUGCGGUGAAUGUGGCCGUGUGUCUUUAUGUGUGAGUACGUUAUGUGUCUGCGUGUUUAUGUCUCUCUGUGAGUGCUUGUGUGUGAUUGAAUGUUGAUUAUUGUAGAUGCUGUUUUAUAUUUUUGUUUUAUUCUUUAAAAACUAUUUAUUGAUCUUUUUUUCCCCUCUGUUGCUGUGUUUAAGCCCCGCGUGUCAUAAAGGUGGAAAAAUAAAAACAGAUACAUUUGUAAAUGGUUGUAAAUUUUCCCCAUUUUUAUUUUCGCUGUCAGUGUACCAACAAUAUCUUAUUUCUACCAGUUGGAUUUAUGUAACAACAGGCUAGAAAUGCUACCUGUUACCAUGGCAUAAUUAGGCAUUUGUACAGUUUUACAUGACUGCUGAGACACAAAGAUGGUGACAACAUUUCUAAGCAGCAACAUUUUUUUUUUUUACAAAAGAUCUAAAAUGCGGCUUCGAAGCAGGGACUAUGGCACACUCACACCAUAUUGACUUGCUA
ensembl:lncRNA